CCUACUUUUCCCAGCAGUGGGGAAUAUUGGACAAUGGGGGCAACCCUGAUCCAGCCAUGCCGCGUGUGUGAAGAAGGCCCUCGGGUUGUAAAGCACUUUCAGUGAGGAAGAACGCCUGGUGGUUAAUACCCAUCAGGAAAGACAUCACUCACAGAAGAAGCACCGGCUAACUCCGUGCCAGCAGCCGCGGUAAUACGGAGGGUGCGAGCGUUAAUCGGAAUUACUGGGCGUAAAGCGCGCGUAGGUGGCUUGAUAAGCCGGUUGUGAAAGCCCCGGGCUCAACCUGGGAACGGCAUCCGGAACUGUCAAGCUAGAGUGCAGGAGAGGAAGGUAGAAUUCCCGGUGUAGCGGUGAAAUGCGUAGAGAUCGGGAGGAAUACCAGUGGCGAAGGCGGCCUUCUGGACUGACACUGACACUGAGGUGCGAAAGCGUGGGUAGCAAACAGGAUUAGAUACCCCAGUAGUC
rnacentral:rRNA from 1 species